AUUGAACGCUGGCGGCAGGCCUAACACAUGCAAGUCGAGCGGAGCGGCGGACGGGUGCGUAAUGCCUAGGAAUCUGCCUGGUCGUGGGGGAUAACGUCCGGAAACGGGAGCUAAUACCGCAUACUAUCAGAUGAGCCUAGGUCGGAUUAGCUAGUUGGUGGGGUAAAGGCCUACCAAGGCGAAGAUCCGGAACUGGUCUGAGUGGAUGAUCAGUAACAAUGGAACGGAGACACGGUCCAGACGCCGAAGGGAGGAAGAAGUGGGGAAUAUUGGACAAUGGGCGAAAGCCUGAUACAGCCAUGCCGCGUGUGUGAAGAAGGUAUUCGGAUUGUAAAGCACUUUAAGUUGGGAGGCGUUACCAACAGAAUAAGCACCGGCUAACUCCGUGCCAGCAGCCGCGGUAAUUC
rnacentral:rRNA from 1 species